rnacentral:rRNA from 1 species
UGGGCGCAGCCUGAUCCAGCAACGCCGCGUGAGUGAUGAAGGCCUUCGGGUUGUAAACCUCUUUUGUCCGGGAAGAUAAUGACGGUACCGCAAGAAUAAGCCCCGGCUAACUUCGUGCCAGCAGCCGCGGUAAUCAAAUAUGCCA